rnacentral:misc_RNA from 1 species
GAAAUGCGAUAAGUAGUGUGAAUUGCAGAAUUCAGUGAAUCAUCGAAUCUUUGAACGCACAUUGCGCCCCUUGGUAUUCCAUGGGGCAUGCCUGUUCGAGCGUCAUUUGUACCCUCAAGCUCUGCUUGGUGUUGGGUGUUUGUCCCCGUCUCCGCGCGUGGACUCGCCCCAAAGUGAUUGGCAGCCGGCGUACUGGUCCCGGAGCGCAGCACAUGUCGCGCAAACGAGUGCCUUGGUACGGCGGCGUCCAUAAGCCCCUCUCUCACGCUCUUGACCUCGGAUCAGGUAGGGAUACGCGCUAAACUUAAGC